AUUGAACGCUGGCGGCAGGCCUAACACAUGCAAGUCGAACGAGUGGCGGACGGGUGAGUAAUGUCUGGGAAACUGCCUGAUGGAGGGGGAUAACUACUGGAAACGGUGGCUAAUACCGCAUACCAUCGGAUGUGCCCAGAUGGGAUUAGCUAGUAGGGGGGGUAAAGGCUCACCUAGGCGACGAUCCCUAGCUGGUCUGAGAGGAUGACCCGCAAAACUGGAAAUGCGACACGGUCCAGACGCCUACGGGAGGCAGCAGUGGUGAAUAUAGCACAAUGGGCGCAAGCCUGAUGCAGCCAUGCCGCGUGGAUGUAGAGGUCCUUCGGGUUGUAAAGUACUUUCUGCGGGUAGGCGUUACCCGCAGAAGAAGCACCGGCUAACACCGUGCCAGCAGCCGCGGUAAUAC
rnacentral:rRNA from 1 species